GGCAGUUCUCGGAUGAUGCACACAGAAUCGGACUCCCUCCUCUCUAGUUCCAGGGUGUGUCACCCGAGAACCACC
rfam:Myotis lucifugus cont2.2088, whole genome shotgun sequence.